rnacentral:rRNA from 1 species
UACGGAGGGUGCAAGCGUUGUCCGGAUUUAUUGGGUUUAAAGGGUGCGUAGGCGGCCCUGUAAGUCAGUGGUGAAAUAUCUCAGCUUAACUGAGAGGGUGCCAUUGAUACUGCAGGGCUUGAGUACAGAUGAGGUAGGCGGAAUUGACGGUGUAGCGGUGAAAUGCAUAGAUAUCGUCAAGAACACCGAUAGCGAAGGCAGCUUACCGAGCUGUAACUGACACUGAGGCACGAAAGUGUGGGGAUCAAACAGG